GAAACCCCUUGGGUGCCUUCGCGGGUGCUUGAGGGG
rnacentral:misc_RNA from 1 species